rnacentral:rRNA from 1 species
UACGAAGGGGGCGAGCGUUGUUCGGAAUUACUGGGCGUAAAGGGCGCGCAGGCGGCUCUGAAAGUCAGAUGUGAAAGCCCCCGGGCUUAACCUGGGAACUGCAUUUGAUACUCUAGAGCUUGAGUACGGGAGAGGAGAGUGGAAUUCCCAGUGUAGAGGUGAAAUUCGUAGAUAUUGGGAAGAACACCGGUGGCGAAGGCGGCUCUCUGGACCGUAACUGACGCUGAGGCGCGAAAGCGUGGGGAGCAAACAGG